CAGGGCCGAAUCCGGGCAUAGUUCAACAUCAGAGCGUGCGUCUCCGCGAGACAGUACGAACAUCCCGCCGCUCAAAGAUUUAUCAAACCUUGUAAACAAGAUCGGCGUGUCUGGAAGUGAAAAUCACACUGUGAUGGCUAGCGGCCGUGGCAUUGCAACAAAGCCAAAAAGACUUAAAGCGUUUACAGUUGCCCAGGUGCACGCUCCGGUUGAUGGGGGUGUGAGAGAUAUUGAUUUCAUACCACAGACACCAGAACGGAAAUGGUCAAGACGUUCACUCAGACCAUCAGCUGAGUUGGUUGUGGAUGACCAUGCAGUACCCGAUGUAAAUGAUGUUCGGAGCUUGGGUGAUGGACUGAUAGAAUCGUGGGACGCCUGUGCAUUUUCCCAGAUACCUAAAGAAACACAACGGGGUGAUCAAUCCAUGAAUGCGUGGUGUCUGCAGCAGAUUCCGACCCUGAGGCUCUGCCUUCAAAUCAGGAGGCUUACAGACGGGGAUCACAUCCCGUUAUAGACAAUCAACACAUAAUCAGACUGUUACAGGACAGUUUCAAGACCAUUGAAGGAUAUUUUAACGGCACUGAGGGACGUAUUAAAGCCACUGAGAGAUGUUUCAAAAUCAUUGAGGAGCGCUUGGAUAACUUUGAGUAGAAGCAGGAUUAUUAUAAACAUUCUGUGACGGCCACACUACAACAACAAGGUGUCUGGAUAAAACAAGUGAUAGCGACACAGCAUUUGCAUGGUGGGGCGAGCCAAUGAGCAGCCACGAUCAAAACCUGACAACGGUCUUAUUAAAGCAGGUCGUAGUCAUGCUUAAAAAAAAAGUUGUAAAAAUGUUAUUUUUUUAACUGUGUAUUUUUUAUAC